rnacentral:rRNA from 1 species
CUCCGUGACUCCUACGGGAGGCAGCAGUGGGGAAUAUUGCACAAUGGGGGAAACCCUGAUGCAGCCAUGCCGCGUGUGUGAAGAAGGCCUUCGGGUUGUAAAGCACUUUCAGUAGGGAGGAAGGUAGUGUAGUUAACACCUGCAUUAUUUGACGUUACCUACAGAAGAAGCACCGGCUAACUCCGUGCCAGCAGCCGCGGUAAUACGGAGGGUGCGAGCGUUAAUCGGAAUUACUGGGCGUAAAGCGCAUGCAGGCGGCCUGUUAAGUCAGAUGUGAAAGCCCCGGGGCUUAACCUCGGAAUUGCAUUUGAAACUGGCAGGCUAGAGUCUUGUAGAGGGGGUAGAAUUUCAGGUGUAGCGGUGAAAUGCGUAGAGAUCUGAAGGAAUACCAGUGGCGAAGGCGGCCCCCUGGACAAAGACUGACGCUCAGAUGCGAAAGCGUGGGGAGCAAACAGGAUUAGAUACCCUGGUAG